UAUGCCAUUAAUUAUUGGUCCAAGGGAAAUAUGGAGGCUUUGUUUUUGGAACAUGAAGGGUACUUUGGUGCUUUGGGGGCUUUUUUGUUGAGUCAAGGUAUUACUCAUGAGGAUUAUAGUGGUGGUGGUGGUGGUAC
rnacentral:ribozyme from 1 species